UUUUUUAAUUUCAACUGCUCAACAAAAAUACUCUCCAAGAAAAGAUCAUAUGAAAUAUCCAGACAGACCCCAAAUAACACUCACAACAACACCAUCUACCGUCUACCGUGAAUGGACCACUACACAAAUUUCCGCGCGAAGCCGAACGAAAAAUUGCUAGUGCUUUGACCUGUCGCAAGAAAAACACUCUACACUCCACUCGAAAAAGCAGAGGCCAAAAAGCAAAGAAAAAAACAAUUCAAAUGAAAUUUGUAUUCCAAUUAGACGCGUUCCAAAGCAAUUUGCCCGGACCAAGGCAUUAGAAAAAGGGUCUUUAAUUCCGCCACAGCGGCUGACAAUGGCCAAAAGAUGGAACAGAGGAAGAAGUACUUUGAUGUGUGUCCACACACACACUCACACACAUGUGCACACUCAUAUCUACUGCGGCAGAAGCAGCGAACCGGCAGCGGUGAGCCAAGUGCAAUAUGUCAAAUAGAGAGCCAACCGUCCGCAUGAUGAGGAAGAAGUUUACUCCAGCAUGGGGGCUUCGGGCUCCACUCUCCAGUGCAUGUUGGUCUGGUCAGCUUAGCAGCAGGCGGCAGGAACAGCUCAGUCAACGCAUCAAAGCGUUAAGCAAUAAAAGUGCAGGCAAACAAGAGCAACAAAAGCCAGAAACGCUUCCCGACUAUCCGACUGCCAGCUUUGCGUGCAUUAUGAACUUUUGCACGAGCCAGCGCUCACCUGUUGUUGUUACACAUUUUUUUGGCCCACAGCCCAAGACGACAGCCGAGGCAGCAGUAACAAUGCAGUCGGCAAAAUUCACUGAACCGCCACCAACGCAACGCAACGCUGGCGGUGACGUCAGCGUCGGCAGCAACGGAGACUUCACUGUUGCCAGCGUGCACACACUGAA